CCAUUUCUUGGUUAACAUGAUGUAGACCUUCCUCGUCGCUAACUGUUAAUAGACAACAGCGGCUUGUAAAAUAUGCAUUGAAAUAAGAAAUAAUACCACCUUAUGGUAAGGACUCGUUAAAGUUUGCCAGGUCAUUGUUGUAGACUGCCUUGUCACUAACAGUAGAUGUCUAAGAUGACUACCGACAUCCUCUACGUCGAUGCUUAAUUAAAUCCCGGUAACGCUCAA
rnacentral:lncRNA from 1 species